rnacentral:rRNA from 1 species
GACGAACGCUGGCGGCGUGCUUAACACAUGCAAGUCGAACGGAAAGGCCCCCACUUUUUUGGUGGGGGUGCUCGAGUGGCGAACGGGUGAGUAACACGUGGGUGAUCUGCCCUGUACUUCGGGAUAAGCUUGGGAAACUGGGUCUAAUACCGGAUAGGACCAUGGUUUAGUGUCUCAUGGUGGAAAAAUUAUUGUUUUGGUGCAGGAUGAGCUCGCGGCCUAUCAGCUUGUUGGUGGGGUAAUGGCCUACCAAGGCGUCGACGGGUAGCCGGCCUGAGAGGGUGGACGGCCACAUUGGGACUGAGAUACGGCCCAGACUACUACGGGAGGCAGCAGUGGGGAAUAUUGCACAAUGGGCGCAAGCCUGAUGCAGCGACGCCGCGUGGGGGAUGACGGCCUUCGGGUGGUAAACUCCUUUCGUUAGGGACGAAGCCGCACCUUUUUUGGGUGUGGUGACGGUACCUUUGUGAAGAAGCACCGGCUAACUACGUG